rnacentral:rRNA from 1 species
UCACCUUCGGGAGGCAGCAGUGGGGAAUAUUGGACAAUGGGGGCAACCCUGAUCCAGCAAUGCCGCGUGUGUGAAGAAGGCCUGCGGGUUGUAAAGCACUUUUAGCGAUGAGGAAGGGUGUGUGGUUAAUAACCACAUAUUUUGACGUUAGUCGCAGAAAAAGCACCGGCUAACUCUGUGCCAGCAGCCGCGGUAAUACAGAGGGUGCAAGCGUUAAUCGGAAUGACUGGGCGUAAAGGGUGCGUAGGUGGCUAAUUAAGUUAGUUGUGAAAUCCCCGGGCUUAACCUGGGAACUGCAAUUAAUACUGGUAGGCUAGAGUUUGGGAGAGGGCAGUGGAAUUUCCGGUGUAGCGGUGAAAUGCGUAGAUAUCGGAAGGAACACCAGUGGCGAAGGCGACUGCCUGGCCUAGGACUGACACUGAGGCACGAAAGCGUGGGUAGCGAACAGGAUUAGAUACCCUGGUAGUCCACGCUGUAAACGAUGAGAACUAGAUGAUGGAUAGGUUAAACCUAUUU